rnacentral:rRNA from 1 species
GACGAACGCUGGCGGCGUGCUUAACACAUGCAAGUCGAGCGGUAAGGCUCCUUCGGGAGUACACGAGCGGCGAACGGGUGAGUAACACGUGAGCAAUCUGCCCUUCACUUUGGGAUAACCACCGGAAACGGUGGCUAAUACCGAUUACGACCACUUCAGGCAUCUGAUGGUGGUGGAAAGUUCCGGCGGUGAAGGAUGAGCUCGCGGCCUAUCAGCUUGUUGGUGAGGUAAUGGCUCACCAAGGCUUCGACGGGUAGCCGGCCUGAGAGGGUGACCGGCCACACUGGGACUGAGACACGGCCCAGACUCCUACGGGAGGCAGCAGUGGGAAAUAUUGGACAAUGGGCGAAAGCCUGAUCCAGCAACGCCGCGUGAGGGAUGACGGCCUUCGGGUUGUAAACCUCUUUCAGCGGGGACGAAGCGAAAGUGACGGUACCCGCAGAAGAAGGACCGGCCAACUACGUGCCAGCCGCCGCCGUAAUAC